ACGCUCGACACCUACGGGAGACAGCAGUGGGGAAUAUUGCACAAUGGGGGAAACCCUGAUGCAGCGACGCCGCGUGAAGGAUGAAGUAUUUCGGUAUGUAAACUUCUAUCAGCAGGGAAGAAAGUGACGGUACCUGACUAAGAAGCCCCGGCUAACUACGUGCCAACAGCCGCGGUAAUCUGAGCGGGCUGGCAAGGC
rnacentral:rRNA from 1 species